GGUAUCUAAUACAUGGGAUCAGAGGUGUGUGGCGUUCGUCUAGACACAUCACCUACCCCUAUUUUAGUGGUGAUUAGUAUGGUGGUGUUAUUGGCACAGUGGGAGGUUAUUUUAGUGGUGAUAGUAUGGUGGUGUUAUUGACACAGUGGGAGGUUAUUUUAGUGGUGAUAGUAUGGUGGUGUUAUUGGCACAGUGGGAGGUUAUUUUAGCGGUGAUAGUAUGGUGGUGUUAUUGGCACAGUGGGAGGUUAUUUUAGUGGUGAUAGUAUGGUGGUGUUAUUGGCACAGUGGGAGGUUAUUUUAGUGGUGAUAGUAUGGUGGUGUUAUUGGCACAGUGGGAGGUUAUUUUAGUGGUGUUAUUGGCACAGUGGGAGGUUAUUUUAGUGGUGAUGGUAUGGUGGUGUUAUUGGCACAGUGGGAGGUUAUAUUAGUGGUGAUGGUAUGGUGGUGUUAUUGGCACAGUGGGAGGUUAUUUUAGUGGUGAUAGUAUGGUGGUGUUAUUGGCACAGUGGGAGGUUAUUUUAGUGGUGUUAUUGGCACAGUGGGUGGUUAUUUUAGUGGUGAUGGUAUGGUGGUGUUAUUGGCACAGUGGGAGGUUAUAUUAGUGGUGAUGGUAUGGUGGUGUUAUUGGCACAGUGGGAGGUUAUUUUAGUGGUGAUAGUAUGGUGGUGUUAUUGGCACAGUGGGAGGUUAUUUUAGUGGUGUUAUUGGCACAGUGGGUGGUUAUUUUAGUGGUGAUGGUAUGGUGGUGUUAUUGGCACAGUGGGAGGUUAUUUUAGCGGUGAUAGUAUAGCUCUGUUAUAGUAGUGAUGGCGUCACCAUGUGGUGAUAGUUUGGUGGUGUUGUCAUAUGGUGGGUUAUGGUGACACCCAGGGGCCUCUUUCAGUGUUACAAAUCACCACGGUCCAAAUAAAUUAAUCUGGAACACAGUGUAGGGGCUGGCAGCGCUCAGUA